AAGUCGUAACAAGGUUUUGCUAAGCAACAGUCCUUCUGUAGCAGAGCUUAACGGAGACCUUGCACCCGAGAGGGGGGAGGCGACUAUAAACAAGUCCCAGUGCAAGUCAGCGCCGCUGGCAACACAAUCGAAUUGCGGGGACGCUUUAAAGCUCGGUGGUACCAACCCUCCGGAUGUCGGAGGGGGCGGGCAAUGCCCGAGGUCAGAACCCACCGAGAUGUACAAUAAGCAAUCCGCAGCGGUCCGUUUGGACCGUCCACAGACUAAGUGGUUGUGGGGAGCCCUGGCUCCUUAAGAUAUAGUCGGGCCCGGUGAGCAGUCACCGGGGGUUCUGCGUCCGUAGGUGAACCUGCGGAAGGAUCAUUACAAGUGAGGCUACCGAACGUUGGAAACAGCGGUUAGGAGCUUACACCCACCCGUGUUUACAUACUAUUGUUGCUUUGGCGGGCCGUGGCCUCCACCGUGGGCUCUGCUCGUGUGUGCCCGCCAGAGGACCAAACUCUGAAUGUUAGUGAUGUCUGAGUACUAUCUAAUAGUUAAAACUUUCAACAACGGAUCUCUUGGUUCUGGCAUCGAUGAAGAACGCAGCGAAAUGCGAUAAGUAAUGUGAAUUGCAGAAUUCAGUGAAUCAUCGAAUCUUUGAACGCACAUUGCGCCCUGUGGUAUUCCGCAGGGCAUGCCUGUUCGAGCGUCAUUUAACCACUCACGCCUAGCGUGGUAUUGGGGCACGCGGUCUCGCGGCCCUCAAAAUUAGUGGCGGCGCCGGUGGGCUCUAAGCGUAGUACAUACUCCCGCUAUAGAGUUCCCCCGGUAGCUUGCCAGAACCCCCAAUUUUUACAGGUUGACCUCGGAUCACGUAGGGAUACCCGCUGAACUUAA
rnacentral:rRNA from 1 species